rnacentral:tRNA from 1 species
ACCUAGCUGGCUCAGCUGGUGGAGUGUGCAACUCUUGAUCUCAGAGUUGUGGGUUCAAACCCCACUUUGGGUG